ACCACUAGAAACAGCUCUAAUUUGAGCUCCAAAGCACACUGGGUUAGGAAGAGCAAGAAAUAAAAGACAAUACCACAAUGCCAAAUUCCAUUCUAUAUACAUGGAAGCAUUGGCCUGACUCAACAAACUACAUCCUCCCUGGAAGUUGAAGUCCCUAUAACAGACUUUUCAAUCCUGACACUUAUGAAAAUCACCUCUUUGUCUUUUCACUUUUACCACCCAAUUGAGCAUCCCUGAAGACUGAUUUAGUUUUGCUUAUUUUAUAAUUUUAUAUAAUUGGAAUCAUAGAACAUGCAUUCUUUAUGACUGGCCUCUGUCGCUCAAUGUUGUAUUCAUGAGAUGUAAACAUUGUGAGAUGCAGCUGCCUGCCUCUUUUCACCGUUCUAUAAUAUUCCAUUGUGUAAAUUAACUACUUUCAUCCAUUCUAUUGUUAGAAGACACUUGUGUCUUUCUGGUUUGAGGCAAUUAUGAAUAUUGUGAACUUAAUGAACAUUACUGUACAUCUCUUUUGCUUCAUAAAUAAACAUAAGUCUAGGAGAA